rnacentral:rRNA from 1 species
AUUGAACGCUGGCGGCAGGCUUAACACAUGCAAGUCGAACGAUGAAGAUAUAGCUGCUAUAUCGGAUUAGUGGCGGACGGGUGAGUAACACUUAGGAAUCUACCUUUUAGCGGGGGAUAGCUCGGGGAAACUCGAAUUAAUACCGCAUAAUUUCUACGGAAUAAAGAGGGCUUUUAGCUCUCACUAGAAGAUGAGCCUAAGUAAGAUUAGCUAGUUGGUGGGGUAAAAGCCUACCAAGGCGACGAUCUUUAGCUGGUCUGAGAGGAUGAUCAGCCACACUGGGACUGAGACACGGCCCAGACUCCUACGGGAGGCAGCAGUGGGGAAUAUUGGACAAUGGGGGCAACCCUGAUCCAGCCAUGCCGCGUGUGUGAAGAAGGCCUUUUGGUUGUAAAGCACUUUAAGCAGUGAAGAAGACCUAUUGGUUAAUACCCAAUAGCGAUGACAUUAACUGCAGAAUAAGCACCGGCUAACUCUGUGCCAGCAGCCGCGGUAAUACAGAGGGUGCAAGCGUUAAUCGGAAUUACUGGGCGUAAAGCGAGCGUAGGUGGUUAAAUAAGUCAGAUGUGAAAGCCCUGGGCUCAACCUAGGAACGGCAUCUGAAACUAUUUAACUAGAGUAGGUGAGAGGGAAGUAGAAUUUCAGGUGUAGCGGUGAAAUGCGCAGAGAUCUGAAGGAAUACCGAUGGCGAAGGCAGCUUCCUGGCAUCAUACUGACACUGAGGCUCGAAAGCGUGGGUAGCAAACAGG